AGCCUUUAGCCCUACUAGUAUUAAAGGUCUUGCCUGCCCAGUGACUCUUUAAACGGCCGCGGUAUCCUAACCGUGCAAAGGUAGCAUAAUCACUUGUCCCCUAAAUAGGGACUGGAAUGAAUGGCUAAAUGAGGACUAAACUGUCUCUUGCAGGUAAACCAAUGAAAUUGAUAUCCCAGUACAAAAGCUGGAAUAAAUCCAUAAGACGAGAAGACCCUGUGGAGCUUUAAAACCAAGCCCACCAAAUAUGGCCCUUGGAUUUUCAGUUGGGGCGACUCUGGAGUAAAACAAAACCUCCAAGAAAAACUUUAUUAAGAUCAACACACCAAAAUAUCAACUCAGACCCAGCAAUACCCACCCAAUUUGCCUGAUUAACGAACCAAGUUACCCCAGGGAUAACAGCGCCAUCCCCUUUUAGAGUCCCUAUCGACAAGGGGGUUUACGACCUCGAUGUUGGAUCAGGACACCCCAAUGGUGCAGCCGCCAUUAAAGGUUCGUUUGUUCAACGAUUAAAGUCCU
rnacentral:rRNA from 1 species